UGGGGAAUUUUGGACAAUUGGGCGAAAGCCUGAUCCAGCAAUGCCGCGUGUGUGAAGAAGGCCUUCGGGUUGUAAAGCACUUUUGUCCGGAAAGAAAUCCUUGGCUCUAAUACAGUCGGGGGAUGACGGUACCGGAAGAAUAAGCACCGGCUAACUACGUGCCAGCAGCCGCGGUAAUACGUAGGGUGCAAGCGUUAAUCGGAAUUACUGGGCGUAAAGCGUGCGCAGGCGGUUUGCUAAGACCGAUGUGAAAUCCCCGGGCUCAACCUGGGAACUGCAUUGGUGACUGGCAGGCUAGAGUAUGGCAGAGGGGGGUAGAAUUCCACGUGUAGCAGUGAAAUGCGUAGAGAUGUGGAGGAAUACCGAUGGCGAAGGCAGCCCCCUGGGCCAAUACUGACGCUCAUGCACGAAAGCGUGGGGAGCAAACAGGAUUAGAUACCCUGGUAGUCCACGCCCUAAACGAUGUCAACUAGUUGUUGGGGAUUCAUUUCCUUAGUAACGUAGCUAACGCGUGAAGUUGACCGCCUGGGGAGUACGGUCGCAAGAUUAAAAC
rnacentral:rRNA from 1 species